rnacentral:rRNA from 1 species
CCUACGGGAGGCAGCAGUGGGGAAUAUUGCACAAUGGGGGAAACCCUGAUGCAGCGACGCCGCGUGAGUGAAGAAGUAAUUCGUUAUGUAAAGCUCUAUCAGCAGGGAAGAAAAUGACGGUACCUGAGUAAGAAGCCCCGGCUAACUACGUGCCAGCAGCCGCGGUAAUACGUAGGGGGCAAGCGUUAUCCGGAUUUACUGGGGGUAAAGGGAGCGUAGACGGCAGUGCAAGUCUGGAGUGAAAGGCGCGGGCCCAACCCCCGGACUGCUGGGGAAACUGUACGGCUGGAGUGCAGGAGAGGUAAGUGGAAUUCCUAGUGUAGCGGUGAAAUGCGUAGAUAUUAGGAGGAACACCAGUGGCGAAGGCGGCUUACUGGACUGUAACUGACGUUGAGGCUCGAAAGCGUGGGGAGCGAACAGGAUUAGAUACCCCAGUAGUC